CCCACCAUCCCCUCUCUUCUUCUUCCUCACAACCCACCCAUCUCUUCUUUUUCUCCAUUUUUCUUCACCACCAUCAUCAACCAACUCCAACACAAUGUGCAUCGAAAAUAUUUUUAAUAAAACAUGAAAAAUUAUAAAAUAUUUUCUAAUAUCAUCCAAAAUUCAAUGUCAAAAUUAUAAAAUAUUUUCUAAUAUCAUUUUUAAUUCAAUAUCCAAUGU
rnacentral:lncRNA from 1 species